rnacentral:pre_miRNA from 1 species
CAAAUACUCUCUCCGAUCAAUAUUAGUUGUCGAAAUAUUACAUGUGUAUCUAGACACUUUUUAGGCAUAGAUACAUCCAUAUUUGGGCAAAUUUAAGACAAUUAAUAUGGAUCGGAGGGAGUAGUUU